GUCUGAGAGUCUGUUCCUCUCUGUGUUUCUGAGUUAUUCAGCAAAGCUGAGAUACGGAGCAGAUCUACAGCUUGUCUGAGGAACUUCCACACACUACAACAGGAUGAAAUCCCACACCGUCCAGCCGCCGGCUCCUGGUUUCAGGUAAAGAGCCAAUCUGAGGCUUGAUGGACGACAAAAGCAACAUGAGCUUUUCACGGGUGCGUGAUCAGUGACUCAGACGAGAAGAUGAAUGACACUGAGGAUGAGUGAGAGAGCGGAGGGGAUAAAAAGAGGUGUUAUCGCAAAGAAGCUGUACAGAAAAAUCCAGGUCCGAGCUCCCACGAGCAUCGCCAGUGGUGGCAGCGGCAAGGGAAAACUCACUAAGAGCAAGAGGAAGAAACCUUGAGAGGAACCGAGACUCAAAGGUGGAGCCCAUCCUCCUCUGUUCAAAAAUUAUAUUGUUAUAAUUUAGUCGUUUCCACUUCCACCUAGUUAGGGCUCCCCCAGUCACACACGACCACCAGCUCUAGGAGGGUGAAGGCAGCACAGGCUUCCUCCUGUGAAGCGCCUCUACAUCUACAAACCGCUGACCACCAGACCUGUUAUGUCAGUGCU